rnacentral:rRNA from 1 species
AACGAACGCUGGCGGCAUGCCUAACACAUGCAAGUCGAACGAGACCUUCGGGUCUAGUGGCGCACGGGUGCGUAACGCGUGGGAACCUGCCCUUAGGUUCGGAAUAACUCCCCGAAAGGGGUGCUAAUACCGGAUAAUGUCUUCGGACCAAAGAUUUAUCGCCUUUGGAUGGGCCCGCGUUGGAUUAGCUAGUUGGUAGGGUAAAAGCCUACCAAGGCGACGAUCCAUAGCUGGUCUGAGAGGAUGAUCAGCCACACUGGGACUGAGACACGGCCCAGACUCCUGCGGGAGGCAGCAGUGGGGAAUAUUGGACAAUGGGCGAAAGCCUGAUCCAGCAAUGCCGCGUGAGUGAUGAAGGCCUUAGGGUUGUAAAGCUCUUUACCCGGGAUGAUAAUGACAGUACCGGGAGAAUAAGCUCCGGCUAACUCCGUG